AAACAAACAAUCACGACAAACCGCCGCCCUAGUCUAUACAACUGGUCUAUACAUUGAGUUAAUUCCACCUUAAAUUUCCCAUUGAGCGCCAAUCCGAAGCUAGCGAAUCAGAAGGCAAAUUCGGCGGAGUUGACCGGUCGUAAACAAAGGAUUUAAGAACUUUUUAAGUACAGUAUCACGCAAUACUUUCUCAGGAUGAGGUUUUAUUUUUCAACUUUUACCUUUGGGGCGCCACAGCGUUCACGCUGAGAAGGGUCGUGCAUCGUCGGUGCCCGGAUGUUGCACUUAAAUGUUCCUUUUUCAUUAUUCCAAAGCAAAGACAUCUACUGGCCCGGAGGAGAACACGUCCAAGUCUGUUCACCCUUUGCUGCGACUCUCGCCCAAACUGUCCCAAAGGAGGAAGAAGACGUUGGUGCUGCUGACAAUCUGAGCAGGACCGCAGUGACUCAAUGACCCAAAAAAAGAAGUCCCGGGUGAACAGCAAAAGGUCAACUGUGGAUCUUCCCACUCAUCUCCUGAGACAUAAAAAAAACUGACGUCAUGUUCCCGGCACACUCGAUGCUUGUGAACGUGACUCAAAAGUGUUGUUAGUGUGGCGCUGCUGGACCUUAACACGCAUUAAAUACUCGCACAAUGA